GAUGAACGCUAGCUACAGGCUUAACACAUGCAAGUCGAGUGGCAAACGGGUGAGUAACGCGUAGACAACCUGCCUCUCAGAUGGGGACAACAUCCCGAAAGGGGUGCUAAUACCGAAUGUUGUGCAACUUCCACAUGGAGGAUGCACCAAAGGUGGUUUCGGCCACCGCUGAGAGAUGGGUCUGCGUCUGAUUAGCUUGUUGGCGGGGUAACGGCCCACCAAGGCGACGAUCAGUAGCCGGUCUGAGAGGAUGAACGGCCACAUUGGAACUGAGACACGGUCCAGACUCCUACGGGAGGCAGCAGUAGGGAAUCUUCCACAAUGGACGCAAGUCUGAUGGAGCAACGCCGCGUGAGUGAAGAAGGUUUUCGGAUCGUAAAGCUCUGUUGUUGGUGAAGAAGGAUAGAGGUAGUAACUGGCCUUUAUUUGACGGUAAUCAACCAGAAAGUCACGGCUAACUACGUG
rnacentral:rRNA from 1 species